UACUACUGAGCAUGUCCACCACCGCACCACCACCACACGGGCCUGCACCUUUGCCCGCGGCUAGGGUUUCGGGCGCCUCCCGUGUUCUUGCCAGAAUCCACCAUAAUCGGUGAUUGUGAGGCCGGAGCUUGCGGGAUCCAUCACCGGCGGCGGUCGGGAGCCCUCGGGCGCCGCGUCCUCCACCCCGGCGUCUGGCGGCAGGAGGAUCCUGCGCACGCAGACCGCGGGCAACCUGGGCGAGUCCAUCUGCGACAGCAAGGUGGUCCCCUCCUCGCUCAUCGAGAUCGCCCCCAUCCUCUGCGUCGCCAACGAGGUCGAGGCCAGCAACCCACCCGUCGCGUACCUAUGAUUUGUUCACCAGCCUGAAAAUGCUGGCCGUGAAGCGGGCGGAGACCACCAGACGUCCCCACCUUGCCGACCCGUUUGAUUUGCGCAUGCUGCGUGCUAUCGGUAUUGCUUGCUGCAUCCUCCGCUUCCUCCAUCGAUGGACACUGGCACGGAGUAUGCAGUAGAAUGCUUAAAGUUAGUCGAUUGCUGACGUGCUGCUUGUUUCUUGCUCGAUGCAAUGUGCUCAUCUCUUUGUUGUUUGGUAGUAGAACAAUCGUCGGUACUCUGAAUUUGUGUGUGUCGAACUUGGAGCAAACUUCUGAAUUCAUAGUGUAGGCCUUUUGAAUUCAACUUUGCUGUUUCUUGCUCAGAGUAAAUCAUUGUUGUUGGGUAGUAAAUCUACCCGUACUUUCUUGUCAAUUCACGUGCCAUUGUAGACA